CUUCAGUUUUCCUUUGGCAGGAGCUGGAACAUUCGACAGUAGACCUUCAAGCGUGUUGUACUUCUUAAACACCUUACUUUCCCAGAUGCCCCAGAUAUUGGUGUUCUUGCCAGGCUUCUCUUUCAGGCCGACGUCAAGGCGCUUCGCAAACUCCUCCCGGGCUUCGCUUCCUAUCUCCAUCUUCGCCUGUACCAGUCCCCAAAAGUUCUCCCCAACCAUGAGAUCGUUCAAGAACCUCUUGGCAUCCAUGGGGUCCUCCCCGGAAGUCAGCUGCAGAAGAGCCUCGAUGCAUGACACAAAGUAGUCAAUGCAGAAGAGCAUGAACCUGCUCUGCGACAAAAGCGUAGGACCCGAGCUGAGCAAUUUGACGGCGUUUGUGUAGAAGAAGUCCGCAAAGGCAGACCUUGGAGGGUACGCGGUGCCAGAUGAAGCGAAUGAGCAGUAGAUGACGAACACACCUAAAUUCGC
rnacentral:lncRNA from 1 species